AAAGACGGUCUUGCUGUCACUUAUAGAUGGAUCCGCGCUGCAUUAGCUAGUUGGUAAGGUAACGGCUUACCAAGGCAACGAUGCAUAGCCGACCUGAGAGGGUGAUCGGCCACACUGGAACUGAGACACGGUCCAGACUCCUACGGGAGGCAGCAGUAGGGAAUCUUCCGCAAUGGGCGAAAGCCUGACGGAGCAACGCCGCGUGAGUGAUGAAGGUCUUCGGAUCGUAAAACUCUGUUAUUAGGGAAGAACAUAUGUGUAAGUAACUGUGCACAUCUUGACGGUACCUAAUCAGAAAGCCACGGCUAACUACGUGCCAGCAGCCGCGGUAAUACGUAGGUGGCAAGCGUUAUCCGGAAUUAUUGGGCGUAAAGCGCGCGUAGGCGGUUUUUUAAGUCUGAUGUGAAAGCCCACGGCUCAACCGUGGAGGGUCAUUGGAAACUGGAAAACUUGAGUGCAGAAGAGGAAAGUGGAAUUCCAUGUGUAGCGGUGAAAUGCGCAGAGAUAUGGAGGAACACCAGUGGCGAAGGCGACUUUCUGGUCUGUAACUGACGCUGAUGUGCGAAAGCGUGGGGAUCAAACAGGAUUAGAUACCCUGGUAGUCCACGCCGUAAACGAUGAGUGCUAAGUGUUAGGGGGUUUCCGCCCCUUAGUGCUGCAGCUAACGCAUUAAGCACUCCGCCUGGGGAGUACGACCGCAAGGUUGAAACUCAAAGGAAUUGACGGGGACCCGCACAAGCGGUGGAGCAUGUGGUUUAAUUCGAAGCAACGCGAAGAACCUUACCAAAUCUUGACAUCCUUUGACAACUCUAGAGAUAGAGCCUUCCUCUUCGGGGGACAAAGUGACAGGUGGUGCAUGGUUGUCGUCAGCUCGUGUCGUGAGAUGUUGGGUUAAGUCCCGCAACGAGCGCAACCCUUAAGCUUAGUUGCCAUCAUUAAGUUGGGCACUCUAAGUUGACUGCCGGUGACAAACCGGAGGAAGGUGGGGAUGACGUCAAAUCAUCAUGCCCCUUAUGAUUUGGGCUACACACGUGCUACAAUGGACAAUACAAAGGGCAGCGAAACCGUGAGGUCAAGCAAAUCCCAUAAAGUUGUUCUCAGUUCGGAUUGUAGUCUGCAACUCGACUACAUGAAGCUGGAAUCGCUAGUAAUCGUAGAUCAGCAUGCUACGGUGAAUACGUUCCCGGGUCUUGUACACACCGCCCGUCACACCACGAGAGUUUGUAACACCCGAAGCCGGUGGAGUAACCUUUUAGGAGCUAGCCGUCGAAGGUGGGACAAAUGAUUGGGGUGAAGUCGUAACAAGGUAGCCGUAUCGGAAGGUGCGGCUGGGUCACCUCCUUUCUAAGGA
rnacentral:rRNA from 1 species